rnacentral:rRNA from 1 species
GAUGAACGCUAGCGGCAGGCCUAACACAUGCAAGUCGAGGGAGAAGCCCUUUCGGGGGCAGAAACCGGCGCACGGGUGCGUAACGCGUAUGCAACCUACCUUUCACAGGGGGAUAGCCCGAAGAAAUUUGGAUUAAUACCCCAUAAUAUUGUUGGAUGGCAUCAUCUGGCAAUUAAAGCUACGACGGUGAAAGAUGGGCAUGCGUCCUAUUAGCUAGUUGGAGUGGUAACGGCACCCCAAGGCUACGAUAGGUAGGGGUCCUGAGAGGGAGAUCCCCCACACUGGUACUGAGACAGGGACCAGACUCCUACGGGAGGCAGCAGUGAGGAAUAUUGGUCAAUGGUCGGAAGACUGAACCAGCCAUGCCGCGUGCAGGAAGAAUGCCUUAUGGGUUGUAAACUGCUUUUAUAUGGAAGAAUAAGGUGUACGGUA